ACCUGUGUAUACCUGGUGAUCUUGUGAAAAUGGAGCUUCUGAUUCACUAGGUUUGGGUAGAGCCUGGAAUUCUUCAUUUCUUACAAGCUUCAGGUGAUGUCAAU
rnacentral:pre_miRNA from 1 species